rnacentral:rRNA from 1 species
UACGUAGGUGGCAAGCGUUGUCCGGAUUUACUGGGCGUAAAGGAUGCGUAGGCGGAUACUUAUGUCAGAUGUGAAAAUCCCGGGCUUAACUUGGGAACUGCAUUUGAAACUGGGUAUCUAGAGUGCGGGAGAGGAAAGUGGAAUUCCUAGUGUAGCGGUGAAAUGCGUAGAGAUUAGGAAGAACACCAGUGGCGAAGGCGACUUUCUGGACCGUAACUGACGCUGAGGCAUGAAAGCGUGGGGAG